rnacentral:rRNA from 1 species
GACAGAGGGGGCAAGCGUUGCUCGGAAUCACUGGGCGUAAAGGGCGCGUAGGCGGGAUGGCAAGUCGGUCGUGAAAUCCCUCGGCUCAACUGAGGAGAGUCGGCCGAUACUGCUGUUCUUGAGGGAUGCAGAGGAGACUGGAAUUCCCGGUGUAGCGGUGAAAUGUGUAGAGAUCGGGAGGAACACCGGUGGCGAAGGCGGGUCUCUGGGCCUGUACUGACGCUGAGGAACGAAAGCGUGGGGAGCGAACAGG